CCUGGGUUGAUCUUGAGGAACUUAAGAGACGGUGUUUUGACUCGACUCCUUUCCCCUUUUUCCUCCCGCUGAGAUCCAGACCUUCUUAGAGAGAACACAGCCAGUGGAGAGUCACUCUAUGGCAGGAAAUAUUCUGUAUUGCCUUACAGGCAGAACUUGCUGAAACUCCAACCUCUGGAAAUUACUGGAACCCUGCAUUCUAGAACUUGCUGGAAACCCACCCUCUGGAAUUGGCCUGCUAGAGUGCCUGAGAAGGAUGUUCAUAGGGAAAUGUUUCAGCAGAGGAACUCUACUACAAAAACCACAAGAGGGAGGGUGCCAGGGGAAGUGGCCUGGUGCUAUUGAAACUGCAACACAGAAGCCAGCCACUGGAGAGAGCUGCACAAGCUGCAGGAACACCCUACCCAGUAAGCCGGCCAGAAGGAGGGAGCAAAACCUUUUCUCUCUGCAACAUCUUUCCAGUUUCCUCUACUGGAAAAGCUUCAUUGCCAGCUGACAAAAGGAAAAAUACUUAAAUGGAUCAGAUCCAUUUUCACAGAGCAGUCAAUAAUGGUGAAUUUGGAGAUGAUAAGCAACAAAUUGAUGAACUGGCACAACUUCCCUGCUACUUUCUUGAUUGUAAUGCCUAGAUAGGGAAUAGGAAAGUUAUUGAAAUGUAUGUGUUCCCAUGAAAUGUGU
rnacentral:lncRNA from 1 species